AUUUAGGUAGCUUAAUUUUAAAGUUUAAUAUUGAAGAUAUUAAGAUAAUAUAUGUAUUCUUAAAUA
rnacentral:tRNA from 1 species